AGAGUUUGAUCAUGGCUCAGAAUGAACGUUGGCGGCGUGGAUUAGGCAUGCAAGUCGAACGCUUGAGGGGCAACCCGAUGGCGUGGCGAAAGGGGUAGUAAUACAUAAGCAACCUGCCUUCAGAUCUGGGAUAUGCGGUUGAAAAGCCGUGCAAUACUAGACGCGUCAUCGAGCGGCAUCGCUUGAUGAUGAAAGGCUGGUCUGUCUGAAGAGGGGCUUAUGUCCUAUCAGCUUGUUGGUGAGGUAACGGCUCACCAAGGCGAUGACGGGUAGGGGGUGUGAGAGCACGAUCCCCACCACUGGCACUGAGACACUGGCCAGACUCCUACGGGAGGCUGCAGUCGAGAAUCUUCGGCAAUGGGCGCAAGCCUGACCGAGCGACGCCGCGUGGAGGAUGAAGGCCUUCGGGUUGUAAACUCCUGUUGGGGGGGAACAAAUCCGAGUGAACCCCUGAGGAAGCACGGGCUAAGUUCGUGCCAGCAGCCGCGGUAAUUC
rnacentral:rRNA from 1 species